GGAGAGAGUUGCAGAGAUGUUUGACAUUGUAAUUUUUACUGCUAGUCAGAGCAUAUAUGCGAAGCAAUUGUUGGAUAUUCUGGAUCCAGAUGGAAAGAUUAUCUCAAGGCGAGCAUAUCGUGAAUCAUGCAUCUUCUCUGAUGGAAGUUAUACAAAGGAUUUAACGGUAUUAGGUGUUGAUCUGGCAAAAGUUGUCAUUGUAGAUAAU
rnacentral:misc_RNA from 1 species